UGCGAAGCCAGCCGCAAGAUGAGAACUCCAUUGAGGGUCGUCAAAGACGAUGACGUUGAUAGGAUGCAGGUGUAAAGACAGCGAUGUCAAAGCCGAGCAUUACUAAUUGCCCGAACACUUUCUUUAG
rnacentral:rRNA from 1 species